UGCGGAAGGAUCAUUACCGAGUUUUCGAGCUUCGGCUCGACUCUCCCACCCUUUGUGAACGUACCUCUGUUGCUUUGGCGGCUUCGGCCGCCAAAGGACCUUCAAACUCCAGUCAGUAAACGCAGACGUCUGAUAAACAAGUUAAUAAACUAAAACUUUCAACAACGGAUCUCUUGGUUCUGGCAUCGAUGAAGAACGCAGCGAAAUGCGAUAAGUAAUGUGAAUUGCAGAAUUCAGUGAAUCAUCGAAUCUUUGAACGCACAUUGCGCCCCUUGGUAUUCCGGGGGGCAUGCCUGUUCGAGCGUCAUUACAACCCUCAAGCUCUGCUUGGAAUUGGGCACCGUCCUCACUGCGGACGCGCCUCAAAGACCUCGGCGGUGGCUGUUCAGCCCUCAAGCGUAGUAGAAUACACCUCGCUUUGGAGCGGUUGGCGUCGCCCGCCGGACGAACCUUCUGAACUUUUCUCAAGGUUGACCUCGGAUCAGGUAGGGAUACCCGCUGAACUUAAGCAUAUCAAUAAGCGGAGG
rnacentral:rRNA from 1 species